rnacentral:tRNA from 1 species
UGUGGCUCAGUGGAUGAUUGCUUGACUAUCAUUCAUUAAAGUCCAGGUUCAAACCCC